rnacentral:tRNA from 1 species
CUUUUAAUCCGUUUGUCGAAGGUUCGAAUCCUUCACGGCCCA